AGAGUUUGAUCCUGGCUCAGAAUCAACGCUGGCGGCGUGCCUAACACAUGCAAGUCGAACGCGAAAGUGGAGCAAUCCAUGAGUAGAGUGGCAAACGGGUGAGUAACGCGUGGGUGACCUGCCUUCGAGUGGGGGAUAGCGCUCCGAAAGGGACGCUAAUACCGCAUAACAUCCUGCCUUUUAAGAGGUGGAGAUCAAAGCCUGGGACCGCAAGGCCAGGCGCUGGAAGAGGGGCCCGCGUCUGAUUAGCUAGUUGGUGGGGUAAUGGCUCACCAAGGCUUCGAUCAGUAUCCGGCCUGAGAGGGCGGACGGACACACUGGGACUGAGACACGGCCCAGACUCCUACGGGAGGCAGCAGUGGGGAAUUGUUCGCAAUGGGCGCAAGCCUGACGACGCAACGCCGCGUGGAGGAUGAAGACCUUCGGGUCGUAAACUCCUUUCGAUCGAGACGAAUGGCUUCUGGGUGAACAAUCCAGGAGAG
rnacentral:rRNA from 1 species